rnacentral:rRNA from 1 species
UGGGGAAUCUUGCACAAUGGACGAAAGUCUGAUGCAGCGACGCCGCGUGAGCGAUGAAGCCCUUCGGGGUGUAAAGCUCUUUCGACAGGAACGAUAAUGACGGUACCUGGAGAAGAAGCUGCGGCUAACUACGUGCCAGCAGCCGCGGUAAUACGUAGGCAGCAAGCGUUGUUCGGAAUUACUGGGCGUAAAGCGUGCGUAGGCGGUGCUUCAAGUUUGGUGUGAAAUCUCCCGGCUCAACCGGGAGGGUGCGCCGAAAACUGAGGCGCUCGAGUGUGGGAGAGGUAGGCGGAAUUCCUGGUGUAGCGGUGAAAUGCGUAGAUAUCAGGAGGAACACCGGCGGUGUAGACGGCUUACUGGACCAUUACUGACGCUGAGGCACGAAAGUGUGGGGAGCAAACAGG